CCCCUAGAUGUUCUGGGCCGCACGCGCGCUACACUGAACAGUUCAACAAGUCUUAACCUUGGCCGAUAGGUCUGGGUAAUCUUUGAACGCUGUUCGUGAUUGGGAUAGACCUUUGCAAUUAUGGGUCUUCAACGAGGAAUUCCUAGUAAACGCAAGUCAUCAGCUUGCAUUGAUUACGUCCCUGCCCUUUGUACACACCGCCCGUCGCACCUACCGAUUGAGUGGUUCGGUGAACUUUUUGGACUGCGCAGGCAUUAGUCUGUGCGGGAAGUUAAUUAAACCAUAUCACUUAGAGGAAGGAAAANUCGUANCA
rnacentral:rRNA from 1 species